rnacentral:lncRNA from 1 species
CACGUUAGUGCUUCAAUGGAACAGUGCUAUCGCCGGCGCACAUUAGCAAGGCGAAAUUGUCGCCGGAAAUGGCUCGGAAGAGAAGGAAUGCUGCUCCGAUUGUCCAUGCAAUCCCUCCUAAGCUCGUUACACCUGAACAUGGCAUCACAACUACACUUGAACCUCUAACAUUUAUAGACAAAUCGGUUUCAAAUAAACUUCUUGAUAAAGUAGAUGAGCAAAUGAUCAAAGUGAUCAUAAUAAAGGAGGUAAGUGAUCUAGAAGGUCACAUGACCCAACAUUUGGAAAUUUUCUACCUCUGAAGUACCAAUCGAAGGACCAAUUGCAUGCAGAAGAAGUUGAGAAUCGAUUGCAAGGAAUUGAAGAAAUGAAUGAUACAACAGCAAGGAGAUUGCAAUUUUCAGCAGUUAUGGAACCAAAGAGUGCAGUACCAGAUAUUGUUGAAGCUGUUGAGACAGAGAAUCCAAAACCUACAAUGGCGGAAGUAGUCAGAGGCAACAGAGAUGUGCAAAUGGGUAAGCCUUUAUCAUUUGUUCCUCCUACUUU